UGGGUAUAUACACGAUAGACUGCUAAAACAAUUAUAACGUGUGUUGGACCGUUCGAUUCUCGUACGAAAUCACAGGUGUUUAUAACAAAAACCGUAGAUUUUAGCAAUGUUUUUGUUGGAGACGCGCGGUUUGAUUCGUGGCCCUCAUAUUAUGGAACUUACCGUACUGCACUUUUAUACUGCGAUAACUGUUGUAUCUGUCUCGUAGUCAUAGGCCGUGAUUGUUAACGAUCAUAUUACGCGGCUACAUAGUGAUAAUCGCAGUUUUCGUAGCGUAAAUGGCUCGCGAACAUCGAAUUAAAAGACGGAUUGAAAACAUUCGUGUCUCGUCAAGUGCAGCCAGCAAUCUAAUUUGUUUUAUUGAAAUAUCCGCGCACAAAAUAACAAUAAUAAUGUACGGGCUUAUCGCGUGGUACCGACG